UACGUAGGGUGCGAGCGUUAAUCGGAAUUACUGGGCGUAAAGCGUGCGCAGGCGGCGGCUCAAGUCAGGUGUGAAAUCCCCGGGCUUAACCUGGGAAUUGCGCUUGAAACUAGGUCGCUAGAGUGUGGCAGAGGGGGGUGGAAUUCCACGUGUAGCAGUGAAAUGCGUAGAGAUGUGGAGGAACACCGAUGGCGAAGGCAGCCCCCUGGGUCAACACUGACGCUCAGGCACGAAAGCGUGGGGAGCAAACAGG
rnacentral:rRNA from 1 species